rnacentral:rRNA from 1 species
UACGGGGGGGAGCAAGCGUUGUUCGGAUUUACUGGGCGUAAAGGGCGCGUAGGCGGCCACCGCAAGUCGACUGUGAAAUCUCCGGGCUUAACCCGGAAAGGUCAGCCGAUACUGCGGGGCUAGAGUGCAGAAGGGGCAACUGGAAUUCUCGGUGUAGCGGUGAAAUGCGUAGAUAUCGAGAGGAACACCUGCGGCGAAGGCGGGUUGCUGGGCUGACACUGACACUGAUGCGCGAAAGCUAGGGGAGCGAACGGG